AACGAACGCUGGCGGCAGGCUUAACACAUGCAAGUCGAGCGCCCCGUAAGGGGAGCGGCAGACGGGUGAGUAACGCGUGGGAAUCUACCCAUCACUACGGAACAACUCCGGGAAACUGGAGCUAAUACCGUAUACGUCCUUCGGGAGAAAGAUUUAUCGGUGAUGGAUGAGCCCGCGUUGGAUUAGCUAGUUGGUGGGGUAAUGGCCUACCAAGGCGACGAUCCAUAGCUGGUCUGAGAGGAUGAUCAGCCACACUGGGACUGGGACACGGCCCAGACUCCUACGGGAGGCAGCAGUGGGGAAUAUUGGACAAUGGGCGAAAGCCUGAUCCAGCCAUGCCGCGUGAGUGAUGACGGCCCUAGGGUUGUAAAGCUCUUUCGCAGGUGAAGAUAAUGACGGUAACCUGAGAAGAAGCCCCGGCUAACUUCGUGCCAGCAGCCGCAGUAACAC
rnacentral:rRNA from 1 species